CCUACGGGUGGCAGCAGUGAGGAAUAUUGGUCAAUGGGCGAGAGACUGAACCAGCCAAGUCGCGUGAGGGAGUACUGCCCUAUGGGUUGUAAACCUCUUUUGUCGGGGAGCAAAAGCCGGACGUGUCCGGCUGUGAGAGUACCCGAAGAAAAAGCCACGGCUAACUCCGUGCCAGCAGCCGCGGUAAUACGGAGGAUGCGAGCUUUAUCCGGAUUUAUUGGGUUUAAAGGGUGCGCAGGCGGAUUUUUAAGUCAGCGGUCAAAUCGUGGGGCUCAACCCCAUCCAGCCGUUGAAACCGGGGGUCUAGGGUUGGCGAGAGGUAUGCGGAAUGCGUGGUGUAGCGGUGAAAUGCAUAGAUAGCACGCAGAACCCCGAUUGUGAAGGCAGCAUACCGGUGCACAACUGACGCUCAGGCACGAAAGCGUGGGUAUCGAACAGGAUUAGAUACCCGUGUAGUC
rnacentral:rRNA from 1 species